AUUGAACGCUGGCGGCAUGCCUUACACAUGCAAGUCGAACGGUAACGCGGGGCAACCUGGCGACGAGUGGCGAACGGGUGAGUAAUAUAUCGGAACGUGCCCAAUAGUGGGGGAUAGCCCGGCGAAAGCCGGAUUAAUACCGCAUACGACCUGAGGGUGAAAGCGGGGGAUCGCAAGACCUCGCGCUAUUGGAGCGGCCGAUAUCAGAUUAGGUAGUUGGUGGGGUAAAAGCCUACCAAGCCUACGAUCUGUAGCUGGUCUGAGAGGACGACCAGCCACACUGGGACUGAGACACGGCCCAGACUCCUACGGGAGGCAGCAGUGGGGAAUUUUGGACAAUGGGGGAAACCCUGAUCCAGCCAUUCCGCGUGA
rnacentral:rRNA from 1 species